CCUACGGGGGGCAGCAGUGGGGAAUAUUGCACAAUGGGGGAAACCCUGAUGCAGCGACGCCGCGUGAAGGAAGAAGUAUUUCGGUAUGUAAACUUCUAUCAGCAGGGAAGAAAAUGACGGUACCUGACUAAGAAGCCCCGGCUAACUACGUGCCAGCAGCCGCGGUAAUACGGAGGAUGCGAGCGUUAUCCGGAUUUAUUGGGUUUAAAGGGUGCGCAGGCGGGCUGUUAAGCCGGCGGUAAAAAUUCAGGGCUCAACCCUGUCGAGCCGUCGGAACUGGCAGUCUUGAGUGGGCGAGAAGUAUGCGGAAUGCGUGGUGUAGCGGUGAAAUGCAUAGAUAUCACGCAGAACGCCGAUUGCGAAGGCAGCAUACCGGCGCCCAACUGACGCUGAGGCACGAAAGCGUGGGGAUCGAACAGGAUUAGAUACCCUUGUAGUC
rnacentral:rRNA from 1 species